UCUAUUUAUGCAUAAGUCACAAGAUAACACAUAAGAAUUGGAAAAAAAUGAAAUGUCAUAUAUUAAAUAAAGAAAUAGCAAAAUAUCCCUUAGGGUUUCAUUGAAGAUCCCAACAUAAGAGUUUAACUGCUCAUCCUAAACAAAAAUACAAGAAUCAUAUUUAAAGAAACAUAAAAUAAACCCUAGAGGAAAGGCUCUUGCUCUCUGUAGCUGUCUUUCUUUUAUU
rnacentral:lncRNA from 1 species